AUACUCCUUCCGGAGGCUGCAGCAAUACCUUGCUAUAAACCCUAAAUCUUGAAACACUCCAAUCCCUAAUCAGAAUGCUCCGCUUGUCGCCGCUCUCUACUCGAUUUUCUACCAGUUGCAAUCUUAACAAUAUUUUUCGUGUAUGGUCUUCUUCUUCUUAAGUGCAGCUCGACUUCUCCAGACCUUUUUGAGGUUUGAAGACAUUGAUUUUAUUUUCUUGUCAAAUUAUUGGGGUUUGUUUAUAAUUGUUUCUUGUUUAUUGAAUUGUAUGCAAAUGAUGAUAUAUAAAAUUUGUCAUACUCCCACUGGAGAAAGAUGAUAUAUUUAUUGGGAAAUCAGAAUCUCUGAUGCAUAUUUGUGCUGCUAAGAUGCUAUUUUUAUCAAAGAUUUACUAAUUUAUUUUAAUUUUUGGGGGGAGGGGUUGUUGGUUCAAUUUGAACUUAGUUGAAGUUGCAGCUUUCUUAGAAUGCCCGCAUGCCUAUGAUGGCGUUAAAUAUACUUUGAGUGAUGAACUAUGAAAAGCAUAUUAACCUGAGGCUAUGAGGCAUUUUAUUUGUUUCUUUUUUAUUAGGAAUUUUUUUUGGGGGGUACAAUUCAGUUGCAAUGUUUUGUUAAUAUAAUUACUGCAAAGGUUUGAUUUUUGCAAGUGAUGACAAAAUAGACAGGGACAUCAGAUCUCCUUUUAGGAGAAAGAUGACUUGGUCUAAUGGGAAUCUCUCUGAUGCUAUAUUAGUUAAAUGAAUGUUUUGAUCUUCCUAGAACUCUCCUUUGAUAUUUUCUACUUGAAAGUAUGUUUAUAAUGCAUUGUACUUUUGUAUAUAUGUUUUCACGCUCUCGGUAGAUGGUACCGGUGAUGGUGUUAAAUAUACUUUGAGUUCUAUACAUUGAAAAUAUUGAAAUCUGAGGUACCAAAAUUCCAACUUUUUUGAGUGGUUUUGGUUGCACUUUUGAUGAGUGUUUGUCGAAAUACCAGGUUAUAUGAUGCAAGUGAUUUUUGUUUGUGGCUGCUACUGUUAUCUUCUUAAUGCUUUUUGUUGUUUUCUUUUCAAUUUGCAAUGAGUUGGUUUGUGCAUAUGAUGAUAAACAGACAGGGACAUCAGCACUCUAUUAGAGUAUGAUGAUUUGUCGAUGGGAAUCUCUCUGAUGUAUAAACUUCACCUCAAAAAAUUAUGAUUUUUUUGCUCUUCCCCUCUGUUUUUGAACUCUUGUUAUGUCUUGACCUGAAUUCAGAUGCACGAGACAUUUUAAUUGAUUGCAUUCCAUAAUUUUAGUUCAUAUCACAAAUGGUUUUUUAUCGCCAUAUGUAUUUUCAGUUAUUUUCUCAAAGUUGGAUAAAACUAGCUCUGGUCAAGCCAAUAGACACGGUACUCCUAGAUCCUCAUUUUCAACUCCUUGGUGUAUUAAUGGGUUGGCCACCCAGUUUAUACUUUUGUGAAGCCCUAAGAUAAUUCUUCCCCUCAUUCUUUUAUCUCCAGAAAAACUUAAUCUAGGGUCAUAAGACUUGUAAAAUGAACCACACCUUCGUAGAAUUGAUCUUAAGCUGGACAAAGGAUCUGGUGGACUCACUGUCUGUUGGUGGACCAUUUGUGUCAUUAUCUCCAGCAUUUGUAUUUUGUUUCAUCACGCUUGUGCUGUGUCUGCAUUAGUAUCUUUAUUGUGUACAUAGCACAUUUUUUUCUUGGAAAAUUUUUGUUGGAUUAUUGAAAUUAUUUUGCCGAUGAUGCACUCUAUAGCAUUUAUUAUCAGAAAUUAAAGAUGAUGAUAUGCAAAUUGUCACUACCUCUGAGGCAAAUCAUUGAUGACACAGUACUUAAAUGUGUAGUUUGUAUACAACUACUGAAUUUUAAACCUAUAUCUGUAUUGGAACCUCUUCAGCUGCUUUCAAUGUGUCCACCAUUGCCUGUAUUGUCAGAGAAAGAGAUGAUGAUAUGUCAUCAUUGAUACCUCUGAGGUAUCUCAAGGGUCCUUUUGUUCCCCCUCCCAAGCUCCGUUGUUGUGCUUAUGUUCAUGUUGGAUGGAUUAAUGAUGUAAUUUUAAAUUUUAGUGGAGCAGAACACAAUAAGAUGAUCAGGGCUAUUUUAUUCUGAAUGUUAUAGCCUGCGUUACAUCCAGGUUUGGCGGUUCGGCCUGGAUGUAAUGGCUGAUUCACCAUCAGACUUCACGGGGUUGGACAUGAAGCAACAAAAAGUUGCUGUAAGCUAAAAUAGUCAAAUUGCCUCUAAAAGUUGAUUGCAGCUUCCUCUCCCGAUCAUGAAAAAUGAGACUACCUCCUCUGUCCAACAUGUUGAGUUCACCUUCGACAGAGAAGGAGCUCUCGUCAAAGUCUAAGGCGGUAGGCGCAUCUAUGUGUGUAUAUAUAUACACACAUACAACACAGACCAGGUAGCAAACAAAAGCACAAAUGCUGGGAGAUGGGAAACUUCAGAGAAGAAAUCAAAAUGGGAUUUUCCAGAAAUUGUUUCAUUCCUUUUCUAAUUGUCUUUUAAUGUUCCACCAAGUAAUUGGAUGUCCCUUUCAUGCUAUCUCAGCAACUUCUCCAGUCUUCACCACCCCAGUUUGUUUUAUGGUGAAAGGCCAAGGGCCAGCUAGUGGCUGCUCACUUACGUCUGCUAGCUACUGUAUUUAUGUAGACUGGAAGCUAGAGAGAUGCUAAGGUAUAGAGCUGCUACUAGAGAAGGUACUUUCAUGCUAGGCGUCCGGACCUAUUACGCGCAAGCUGCAUUCCCGGCACACUUGCUAUAUCCACUAAUUCUUCAUACCACAUCAUACUACCUACUAUACCUGAUAGAGAGCCGUUAUAACAA